rnacentral:rRNA from 1 species
UACGAAGGGGGCUAGCGUUGUUCGGAAUUACUGGCGUAAAGCGCGCGCAGGCGGUCUUCCAAGUCAGUGGUGAAAGCCCGGAGCUCAACUCCGGAACUGCCAUUGAAACUGUUAGACUUGAGGAUGAGAGAGGUGAGUGGAAUUCCCAGUGUAGAGGUGAAAUUCGUAGAUAUUGGGAAGAACACCAGUGGCGAAGGCGGCUCACUGGACCGGCAUUGACGCUGAGGUGCGAAAGCGUGGGGAGCAAACAGG